GCCCCCGCCCCCGGCGCGCAGGGAGGCUCCCGGCCGGGGGCGGCGGUGGCGGGGGGAGGACUGAGGCUGGAAAGGUGCGUGCUCGGAUUGCCGGAGGGCCGGUCUCGACCCGUGCGUACGGAAAUGAAGCUGCCGUUUGUGACGAGCGUCUUAUGCCAAACCUUCAGGAUGUCUCAGGAUGUCCAGAGAUUUUUCCACGCCAGUUCUGCUAAUUGAGGGGGAAAAAAGGGUCAUUGCAAUUAUGUAAUGGCUCCCUCUAGCGUGCCAGAGAUACUGCUGCAUUUGGGCUUACAACAAUCCAUUGAUACCAACGACAUGCACGGAAUACUUAGAGGAAAAAUAAAAUCUGAAACACUAGCACUGGAUCUUCAAACCUCUGACUGACUGCCAGGUGAUGAUGAUAAAUGAAACUCUUAACUCCUUGCUCUACAAGUCACUUUGGUUUUGUGGUGUUAAGUUCAGCAGAGCUGCAUUUUAAUACUCAUUUUCAGAUUCCUCCUGUGUCUGAUGGUUACCCUGCAGAUAUGAGUGGCUGGCUGAGAGGGACAUGCUGCUGGGCCAGGCAGCAGCUGCCUGGAAAGUUACUCUCCAGGUAGGAUGAAGAUACUGUCUUUGAAACUUUUGACUUCCAAGUGCAGCUAGAAAUCAAGUUCCAGUUUCCUGAAGAGAAUAAGCCUGAACUGUCUCUAGUUGCUCUAACAUCAAGCCGGUAUCAAGAGGUUAGGAGCUACUGUCAUGCAUGAGGUGAGUCAUUUGCUGCUGAGAUCUUGAAAGAAAGAUUAGUCAUUAACACAUGUAUUUUUGGCAGUCCUGUAUCACAACCCAGAACUCUAGGAGAUAGAAUCUCAGCUUACUCAGCAGAAACUUCACUGCUCCCUGCAUACUCACUGUGGCUUUCCUCACAAGACAGAAUCAAUUGUGUUUGUUUAACAGACCAAAGCCUUCAGGCCAGCCCAAAUUGUCAGUGUCUCAGAGAAAUUCUUUGGAGUCAUCUUGCCAUGAACAUUUUAUCUUUUUUAGAGGUAGGGGACUUCUCCUCUUGUGAACAAGUCUUGUUGUUCCCUGAUUUGGAACAAGGUUCAAAAAGGGCAUAUGUUUCAAAGAGCUGCAGACUGUAGGCAAGUGGAUAAGCAAUAAAACCCUGCUUAUUCCCAUCCCAACAGCUGUUAACACUCGUUGAAGUCAGGCAGACACCCUACCCUAAGUGAUUUUUUUAGACUGCGUAUUAUGUUUCAUGCAAAGAUAGAGCAUUGCUACAAAACUUAGAAACAGUUUUCACUGCUAACUUGUGAGUAGAUGAUCACAGAAUCAUAGAAUGAUUUGGAUUGGAAGGGACCUUAAAGUUAAUCUGGUUCCAACUCAGGGGAGUUGGAACCCCACCGUCCCCUAGACCAGUUGCUCAAAGCCCCAUCCAACCUCCUGUGUUGCUCCUAAUCAGUUUGUAAAACCAGUUGCCCUUUUAUGUCUCUGUUUACAUUUCUUUCUUAUCCAUGUUUUUUCUUUAUCACAAUUUUUUGUGGUGCUUAUUUUCUCCUUCUUCCCAGAAUUAAAAUUUCACUAAGCAGUCCAGAGAAGGCCAGGGUAAGUGCCCACCAGAAAUACUGUAAAGAAAUAUUUUCAACCCAAGCAAGUAAAUAUUUUCCAGCCUCGAGGUUAUAUGAAUGUAUAGCUACUAAAAAUACUUUGUCAAACAUGGCAUGGAGUAGAAAAAAUUGAAUAAAAGAAACAUUUUAUUUGGACUCAAGUGUUGCGAUAUUUAAGACAUUCCUCAUUUUAGUUUGUUUUGUUCUAAAAUUGUCUAAUACAUUAUUUCACAAGCAUUAACAUAAAACUUUUAUUGGAAGCUACUAAUUACUCUUUUUGGAUAACCACAUGGGGCCUUAAUUAAAAAUUGCAAUCCAUUUCAAAAUGUACUUGCAUAUAAUGAAAACACAAUUCAAAUAUGUUGUAAGAUAACUGGGUUUUAUUACUUAAGCUUAAAGAAAUAUAUAUAUUUUCUAAAAAAAAGCUCAGAAAGCAGGAUAUUUCUUGAUCUUGCAGUUUUUUUCUGCUACCCAGCAGUGAAAACAAUAAUUAUUAUCAGUUCUUCAUGUUCUUAGGGUUGGCAUUGGUAUUUGUUUGCAUGAAGAAUGCAGCCACACAAAAGCACAGUAGCACUUUAGAGGAAGAGAGGCUGCCAAAGUCUCUGGUGAGGCUUGCCAAAAAACCACUCACAGUAGGGUGUCUCUACUAGCUUUGUCUGUGUCUAUGGGUCCUGCUCUUAAGGAUAAUCACCUGCUACUGAAUAGAACUAUUCAUUGAGGCUGAAGGAGUGUCUGAAACAGUCUCAAACCUUUCAAAAUUGCAAAGUUGCCAACACUCUCUUUUUCUCAGGAGUCUCCUGAUUCCUGAUUAACUUGGUCUUGGUUCCACCCAGCCUUGGAACUGGAGUCAGCUUAUAGCCAGACAGGUGAAAUUUGGGAUAGGUUGCCAUAUUCAUCUUAACAUCUAUCUGUGGAGGUAUGUCCUCAGUCUUUCAAUGAAUCUUAAAAAAAAAAGUCUUCACAGAAUAUUCAAUUCUGCUCAAGCUGUCAUCCUUUUUUUUUCAUUUUACAUGAGACAAGGUUAAUUGAGCCCAGAAUGAAAAAGGUGUGGGGAAGUCAGAUAUAUGUCACUCAGCUGAGAGUAAGUAGCUGGUUCCCAUGAAUAAAUUCUUGUUCUGGUGUGAAAGAAUUCAGAUGAAAAGAGAGAGAUGCUGAUUUUGAGAGCCUACACAGCUUGGGGGAAUAGACAGCAAUGGGAAUUAUUUUGAAAAGUGAUAAAUUGCAUUUCCUGUCUUUUGAACCAUAGGCUGGCAGUUAAACCAUUGGUAGUAAGGAGUUUUCCAAAUCUUGAAGCAAUUGAUGUGUCCUCCAUACAACAAUGGCCUAAAUCACCAAGCUCUGUGACCACCUGAGACACAAUCAACAAUUUGUCCUGCUGAGGAGAGGAAGUCAGAAAGUGGUUGUGUGGGCACCUGGCAGCCAACCAAGCAACAGUGAUGUAUUCCCUGGCUAUGUGGAGAUUGCAGUAGAGAGAGAAGUUCCCACCAGGGUAAACUGGAGAAGACCGUAUGCUGGGAAAGAAAUUCCAUCAGAGAAAAGUUCCCUUUGAUUACCAGUCUGAAACAAGCAUCUGUUUGGCAAGAGCAAGAAGAAACUAGGUAUCAAAAAGGAGGAAGGAAUUUAGAUGCACCCAGUGAUAUAGGGCACUAAGUGCCUUAGUCCAUAUUCACAAUUCUUUAAAUUCAUGCAAAUCUGCUUCACAGGUUCUUUGAGUAGUUGAAGGUGGGCAUACCCUGGCUUUCUAGCACUAAGCACAUUGACACUGAGGUCAGGGCUGAUCUUCCUUGUGACUGUUGCUUUUUUCCAGAAGUUUUUCAUGCAAGAUCCUUUUAGAUACUCAGUCAAGAGGAGAGGAAAUGACAGUAUACCCUACUACCAGCCUGGGUAAAUUGACACAUUAUACAGGUGUGUACAAUUAGUGCUGAAUAUUAGAUGCAGACACUGUCUGGAAUGGUCUGGGACUUCUCACCCUGCAGCAGAGCAUCCUAGACAUUUGGAUACAGAAACAUAUUCUGGUCUAAAAUAGUUUCUACUCUGCAUUAUUUGGAAAAAUGAAGAAUUCAUCUUUUCAGAAAGUAUAUUACAGAAUCCUAUUAGACAAUGUUGUUCUAUUUUCCUCCCUUCUAUCUUAUAAAGUUGUAAAAUAUUUAAUCUAAUAUUCAAUUUUUGUGGCAUGUCUUUUUUUGACUUAAGAGUUGCACAAAAUUCCUGAGAUGACGAGUGCUAUAAAGAACGUUUAUUUACUCCUUAUCCCAGCUCAGGGCCUGAGAGAGGGGAGCUCUGCAUUUCUCUGUAACAUGUUGAGACAAUGUACAGCCAAAGGAGAAUUCCAAACCGUGGAGUUUGAGCCAUUUCAAUGGUUCACUCUGUCAGCUGUUUGAGCAGUUUGCCCAGAUUUGUUAGAUUUCUUUGCUGUAGAAUCUAAAUCCUUUUACAGAUGGAGUAACAGGUUCCUUAAUCUUUUCACUGCAAAGAAGUAGCACUUUUUUAGAAAGAUAGAAUAGUAAUAGCUUGAUCUUUUCAAAGGCAAAGUAGCAGCGAAAACUUGAGUUUAAAUUAUUGGCAUUUCUACAACUGGAGGUAAUGGUAAGAUCAAUCAUGAUAGUCGAACAUCAGAAUUUAUGCAAUAUGUUUGAUGUUCUACACAUAAGCAUUGUGCACUGACAAAUACUAUGGAAACUACACACAUGACAUAAAGUGCUCUUUAUAGGAAAGGGUUUCAAUUUUUUUUCUUUUGUGAUACAGAAUAUAAAAAAUUACCAUUAAUUUAAUAAUUUUUCAGCCUGCUUAAAUGUUUUUCCCAUUUACUAUUAGACCUGCUAUCAAAAAGAGUUCUAGAUGAUAAAAACAUAUGUUCUGUUUUUAUAAGGAAUUCUUAAUUUAGAACAGCUUUUAAUUCUAACUAAUGUUGAAUUAAUACAAGUUUUUUAAAAAUUAUCUGAGAUAUGAUUUUUUCAAAUCAGUGAUAAAUAUUUGACUUUUUUUUUCUACCUUUUAUUAUUUUAUUUCUUCACAAGCCCCAAAAGUUAUUGAAGAUCAUCUGUAGUUGAAAAACACAAGCAGAAGCUUCUCCUUUUCUUUGUCCAUGCACAUCAACUCACUGCAUAGGAGUUUAUCCCCAGAUGAUUUUAUGAGUCCAUAGAUGAUUCCAUAUGACUGUCAUAUAUCUCUAUUAAGUGUUGAACUACUUAAUCUAGUUAGUAUUAUCAAUAAUUAGGAGUAUUUUUUAUGUGAAGUCUUUCCCACAUCCAUCAUGAUAUUGUUGAAUUAACUUAUUCAUCUCCCAUUCUGUUUUGUAUCAGCUUUUCAUAUUUGCUGAUUUAUUUUCUGAUUUUACUCUUCCCACUGCUCAUCAAAAAACGCAACGCUACAUUUUCAGUAAUAGCAGUGUUUGUCUGCAUUUAAGUGUUACUAUUUAUUGUGUUUGCCAUAAUUACUGUUGGAAGAUAAUCUUCAUUAAAGUUCUCAUUCCAAAAUUGCUAAACUUUCUUAUACAUUGAGGAGUGUAAUUUUCCAUGUAUAAUUUUCGUUAAAUGACCAUGCCUGGAUUUCCAGCAAUUCAGUGAAUACAAAGAAAAUAUGAACAUUAUAUAAAAGUAAAUUACUCAAAAGCUGGAAGAAAAGCAAGUAUAGUUUUAAGGAACUGCUCACUAGUAGAAAUUUACUAGAAAAAUUAUAUUCUUGAUCCAAUUUAUUUUCAAUAGAAAUUGUAACAUUAUGAGACCUUUUUAUUAAUGAUCAUUUAGAAAAGAAGAAACUAGCUUUGUAAGCACUGAAACAAAAUGAAAAAUAGAAAGUUUUCUGGGAUAUCACUGUAUACUUGUUUUAUUUCAGUAACCUGCUGUCAUCAAUUUCUUUUUAGGACUUUUUUUUCUUUAGAAUCACAUUUACUUUUUUCAUUUUAUAGUUCUCUUUUUCCUUGUUUGCCAACUUAUCUAAAUUUAACUGAAUCACAGAAUCAGAGUGAACAAAAGAAUUACCCUCUUCUGUCUCAGCUUGGACAGUAUCUGCAGCUGAUAUUAUAAAUGUGAAAGUGAAGCUUGUAAAGAGGAACUGGUUUUGUUUCCUGUAUAAAUAACAAGUAAGCUCACCAGUGGAAUUAAAAUCUUUAAGAGGAAAGUGCAAUUUUAAAUCAACACCGUUCAAUUGCAAUAGACUUUUCAGUACCUUUCUAUUAUAUUUUUGCCAAUAUUUUAAGCCAUAAAUCUUUCAGCUUUUGUUAUUUGAAUGUAAAUCCUCCACUAGGAAAAUAAUAUGAAAGCAUAUAAAAGAAGCAAGUGUCAAUAACUGCACAAAAUUAACAGAAUUAUAACUAAAGACUAUUUUCUCUAAAAACCUUUUUCUUUAGCAGACUUUCAGAUUUCCAAGUGGAAAAAAAGAAUAUGCCUUAGGUGUUUGUUUGACAUAAGUGAAAUUUACUGUGGAUAAUUAAUUAGAGAUACUGCACUACUGUCAAGAAAGAUCCUAAUAAUCAUAUUUUUUGUUUGCAUAGAAAAAUAAAGAUAUAUAUUUUAAGAUA